UAUUAAUAUCGGCGUUUACAAAAACCACGGAUGUGGUUAUAUACGAAAAAAAAGACCAAAUAUACCCCACUGGAGUUAAAGAGAAACUAUUUAAGGUUUUGAAAAUUAUAUCGAAUGGGAAUGCCGAAAAGUUCAUUAGUAAAUAGGUCCUUUUUACAAAGUGCAUGGGGGAUGUAGAAUGUUAAACACAACAGGAAACGGAUAUAGAGUACAGAGAAUUCCUGCAACAUUGCGCUAUAACACUAUUUUUAGUGUCAACCGGAAUGAAGAUGAAGUGCAUAUCAUCAAUAUCAACGGCCACCGCCACGUGUGUUUGCUUAUUUGGGUUGUGUAUUAGCCAUCCGACCUCCGCCGACAAAAUUAACCACUGUUUCUGCAGAGUGAAUUACAACUACACUCGUCGUGAGCUAAAAAUAAGGGCUUUUAGUCACCAUGAGACAGCUGUGCUGUUGUAGGGCAACUUUUGAAGUUGAGAAAUACAGUCACCAUGGAUACUACAACCGUGUAGAGGAAUGUCACCUGAUGGCUUGUUAAGCUUUUUUGAUGCAGCAGCUCUCUUAUUAAUUGACCAUUAAACAGCAUCCAACAUACUUUUGAGAUAACGUGAAUUUAAGGUAUUGGGCCCCUAAUAGUGAUGUUUUAAAAAUGGCAUUUGCUUGGUAUAUUCUUAAAGUUGACCAUGUUUCACACUGUGUUGCAUAUUUUAAACAACUUUCACCGUGCCGUGUUUUGUAAAAAUUGUAUAAUAUAUGGUAUUUCC
rnacentral:lncRNA from 1 species